GCCUAGCCCUAAACCUUGGUAAUAUAUCACAUACCCUACCCGCCUGGGAACUACGAGCAUCAGCUUAAAACCCAAAGGACUUGGCGGUGCUUUAGACCCCCCUAGAGGAGCCUGUUCUAGAACCGAUAACCCCCGUUCAACCUCACCCUUCCUUGUUUAUCCCGCCUAUAUACCGCCGUCGUCAGCUUACCCUGUGAAGGCCUAAAAGUAAGCACAACUGGCACAACCCAAAACGUCAGGUCGAGGUGUAGCGCAUGGAGGGGGAAGAAAUGGGCUACAUUCCCUAUAUUAGGGAACACGAACGGCGCACUGAAAUACGCGCCUGAAGGAGGAUUUAGUAGUAAGCGGAAAAUAGCGUGUUCCGCUGAAAUCGGCCCUGAAGCGCGC
rnacentral:rRNA from 2 species